rnacentral:misc_RNA from 1 species
UUUCCGUAGGUGAACCUGCGGAAGGAUCAUUACAUUCAGUAGCCUAGCUACUUGUUUACACCCUUGUUUUUUUGCGCACUUCACUGUAUCCCUCGGCGGGCUUGCUCGCCGGUUGGACAAAACUAUAACCUUUUUUAAAUCUUCAAUCAGCGUCUGAAUUAUACAUAAUAAUUACAACUUUCAACAACGGAUCUCUUGGUUCUGGCAUCGAUGAAGAACGCAGC